rnacentral:rRNA from 1 species
GGUCAAGUUAUUAAGGGUGCAGGGCGGAUGCCUUGGCACUAGGAGCCGAUGAAGGACGUGAUAAGCUGCGAUAAGCUUCGGGGAGUUGCACGUAAACUUUGAUCCGAAGAUUUCCGAAUGAGGAAACUCACUUAGAGUAAUGUCUAAGUAUCAUUAAGUGAAUACAUAGCUUAAUGAGGGGAACUCAGGGAACUGAAACAUCUAAGUACCUGAAGGAAGAGAAAGAAAUUCGAUUCCGUAAGUAGCGGCGAGCGAACGCGGAUUAGCCCAAACCAAUAAAGUUUUCUUUAUUGGGGUUGCGGACAUAUCAUAACGAAGAGGUAUCGUAAUUGAAGAGGUUUGGAAAGACCCACCACAGAAGGUAAUAGUCCUGUAUGUUAAACGAGAAGACUUUAGAUAUGAUCCAGAGUACCACGGGACACGUGAAACCCUGUGGGAAGCAGGAGGGACCACCCUCCAAGGCUAAAUACUACCUAGUGACCGAUAGCGUAUAGUACCGUGAGGGAAAGGUGAAAAGAACCCCGGGAGGGGAGUGAAAUAGAACCUGAAACCCUGCACUUACAAGCUGUGGAAGCACAUUUCUUGUGUGACCGCGUACUUUUUGUAGAACGGGCCAACGAGUUACGUUAAGUAGCAAGGUUAAGCACUUAAGGUGCGGAGCCGUAGCGAAAGCGAGUUUUAACUGAGCGUUCAGUUACUUGACGUAGACCCGAAACCGGGCGACCUACCCAUGAGCAGGAUGAAGCGAAAGUAAAAUUUCGUGGAGGUCCGAACCCACGAGCGUUGAAAAGCUCGGGGAUGACUUGUGGGUAGCGGUGAAAUUCCAAUCGAGCCCGGAGAUAGCUGGUUCUCCCCGAAAUAGCUUUAGGGCUAGCCUCAAGGUGAGAGAUACGGAGGUAGAGCACUGAAUGUCCUAGGGGGUAUUGCACCUACCGAAGACUAUCAAACUCCGAAUGCCGUCAUCUUAUACUUGGGAGUCAGACUGUGGGUGAUAAGAUUCAUAGUCGAAAGGGCAACAGCCCAG